UACGUAGGGUGCAAGCGUUAAUCGGAAUUACUGGGCGUAAAGCGUGCGCAGGCGGUUGUGUAAGACAGAUGUGAAAUCCCCGGGCUCCAACCUGGGAAUUGCAUUUGUGACUGCACAGCUGGAGUGCGGCAGAGGGGGAUGGAAUUCCGCGUGUAGCAGUGAAAUGCGUAGAUAUGCGGAGGAACACCGAUGGCGAAGGCAAUCCCCUGGGCCUGCACUGACGCUCAUGCACGAAAGCGUGGGGGAGCAAACAGG
rnacentral:rRNA from 1 species